GUGAACGGUUGCGUCUUUUUGCGUCGUAAUUUUAUACUCAUAUUUUAGUAAUAAUAAUUGUUAAGUAGUUAUAAAUUGUUGAUAAAUCGGUCAAUUUAAUUGUUCUAAACACAUUGUGAUAUAAAUUAUUGCUGACAAUUGUGAAUUUUGACGAAAAUUAAUGGACAUGUCAAGGCUGUUGGAGCUGACAAAGGCAAAUAUUAAUCUGUUGAAAAAAUGGACAAUUGAUAUAUAACAAAAAGUGUGGCUAAAAUAUUUGAUGUGUUAAUGUUAUUAACGAUCCAACAUUAUUGAAAAUGGGACUAAACAAAUGACUAAUGUGUUUGUCAUGGAAUCCAAGAUCAUUUUGGAGUUCAUUGCAUCAAAUUCAUCCAGACAAAAACAUUAGUAUUGCCAAUGUAAAAAACGUAAUAUCAGAUUUACAUAAUGGAAAAAAGAAUAUUAAGAGAGAGUAGCUGCUUUAUUGACAACAAUCAGGACUGCUUGAAUGCUAAAUUACAACAUGAAAAAUACCAAGCGAAUGAUUAUAGUGUUAAAAGUGUCAUUAAGUACGUCGUUGACUUUAGUUUGUGUUACCAAGUGCUUUAGAAAUUAAUCAAACGGUUUAUAAACUAUUUGACAAUUGGUACACUUGAACCAGCAACAAAAUGAAGAAAAAAAAAAAACAUUUGAAUGAAUCUCAACACUUGAAGAUCAUGACAUGAUGCUGGUGUUAUUGAUUGUUAUGGUCUUUCUAAUAUACCACUUGAUGUUAUUGGUAAACAUUUACUUGUUUUUGUUGAGCUUGUUAAUAUCAAAGUAUUAUUAAAAUUUUCUUUGAUAUGCUACUGCGGCUGCUCACAACUGAACCACCUGUUUCUCUUUAAAGUUAGGAGAAAGACGUGCCUCUUCUAGAAAAAAUGUUAAAAAUAUUAUCAACAGCCGGCUCCUCAGUGAACUAUCAAGCUAAUAAGUCAAAAAAUAAUUAAAUAUAAAAAAAGAAAACUCAGCUAAUUUAUAUAAACUAUAAACUCUUCUUCAUCAAGUGAUGUAAAAGUAGUGAUGAUGGUGGUGUGAAAAGUGAUUAUUGUUUUGUGUCGUGUAGUGUUUGUGUUAUGUGUCAUCAUUGAACCAGGUGUGCUGAUCAAAUAAAAUCAUCAUGAACAACUACAUGGCAUUGGAGCAUUUUGAUGAUCAACGUUGGAAGAUGAACAUCCGCUAAAAAGAUACGAUGGAUUUUAAUGAGACAGACUGACGACAUCAAGUAAGGGCUGAAAGAUGACUACACUUGCCUGGGAAUGACAUGUCACGUUCGAUCAAGAUGACGACGAGGAGGAGGCGGAUUAAUCAGAAAAAUGGUUGAGUUCAGAGAAUAUGACGUAGACAAAAGGAACUUUACGGAAUAAUUGCAUGAGGUAAAUGUAGGUUUUAAUUUACAAUAAUUUUUUUAAAAUAAUAAACACGAUUGUAAUCACAGAGAUUUUAUGAAAUAUGAAAUAAAAAAAAAAAGAAGGUGAUAAGUUUGUCCCUGAUCGUGACUACCGGAAACUGGUUUCCAUUCAAUUUCAAGAACACGAUUAUCUUCAAUGACUUUAGUUUCAUCAAGUUAAUUUUCAUUCAAUAUCCAAG